rnacentral:rRNA from 1 species
AUUGAACGCUGGCGGCAGGCCUAACACAUGCAAGUCGAAUGGUAACAGGAAACAGCUUGCUGUUUCGCUGACGAGUGGCGGACGGGUGAGUAAUGUCUGGGAAACUGCCUGAUGGAGGGGGAUAACUACUGGAAACGGUAGCUAAUACCGCAUAACGUCGCAAGACCAAAGAGGGGGACCUUCGGGCCUCUUGCCUUCAGAUGUGCCCAGAUGGGAUUAGCUAGUAGGUGGGGUAACGGCCCACCUAGGCGACGAUCCCUAGCUGGUCUGAGAGGAUGACCAGCCACACUGGAACUGAGACACGGUCCAGACUCCUACGGGAGGCAGCAGUGGGGAAUAUUGCACAAUGGGCGCAAGCCUGAUGCAGCCAUGCCGCGUGUAUGAAGAAGGCCUUCGGGUUGUAAAGUACUUUCAGCGGGGAGGAAGGGAGUAAAGUUAAUACCUUUGCUCAUUGACGUUACCCGCAGAAGAAGCACCGGCUAACUCCGUG